ACUCAGAAUAUGGAAGUCUAUGUAUUGAUUACAUAUUUGAAAGUGACAGGCCUGUUGUGUAUGGGCAGAGGGUUCCGGGUUAAAUCUCAAAAAUAAUAAUAGCAGGGGCUAGUAGUAAUACAUUCUGAAAAACCAGCGUAUCAAAAAGAGAGGGAAUACUCCCCUCUCUUAGAUCUGCUCCCCUGGGUGCUGAUUGUAAGUAGCUUUGUAUGUUUUAUUUUAGAAAAUACAUAUAGAAACACAAUAUUUUAAAAAAAUAGAAUUGUAUUCUUCUUAUUCUGCAACUUGUUACUUGUAUUUAAUAGUGUGUCUUGGGCCUCUUCCUUGAUCUUCAUUAUAUUUUAUAAUGGUCUUAGGAUUUUAUUGUUGACCAUCAUGCGUGACUGCCUUUCCCAUAUCAAUGAAAGUUUAGAUUAUAUAUAACUUUUGUCUUAAAAAAACCAAUGUUUUGAGGAUUGAACAUCCUGGUUCGUGUAUCUUGGUACACUUAUUCUAAGUAUUUCUAUAGUAUGAAAUAUUUGAAUUUGGACUGCUGAUUAUGAGGCCUGCAUAUUUUAGAAUUUGUUAAAACUGAGAAAUUAUAAUGAUGAGAGUGUCCAUUUCUCUGCAACUCCACCAACAUCGUUAUCAAGCUUUUAAUUUUUUCUGAUAGGUAAAAACAAUUCAUUUUAUUGUAUCAAUUCUUUGUCAGUGGAGUUUUGCAGCUUUUCAUGUGUUUGUUUACUAUGUUUCUUUUUGACCUUUAAAAGUUGUUUUGUGGGUUUUUGUUGUUGUUGUUGUUGUUUUGUUUUGUUUUGUUUUUUUUGUCUCGCUGCUGUGUAUGCAGUGGCACAAUCUCGGCUCACUGCAACCUCUGCCUCCGGGGUUCAAGCAAUUCUCCUGCCCCAGCCUCUGGAGUAGCUGGGAUAACAGGCACCCGUCAUCACACUCAGCUAAUUUUUAUAUUUUUAGUAGAGACAGGGUUUGCCAUGUUGGCCAGGCUGGUCUCGAACUCCUGAACUCAAGUGAUCCAGCCACCUGGGCCUGCCAAAGUGCUGGGAUUGCAGGCAUGAGCCACUGUGCCCGGCUAUGUGUUAUGUUUUUGCUUUUUCCAUAGACGUAACAUUUUGUCUCUUAUGUGCAUUACAUAGUUUCUUCCAAGAUGUCAACUUAUAGUUCAUUUAUGGUCUCUGCUUUGUAGAACUUCAAAAUUUCUCUACAAUCACAGUUAUAUAUUUUUUCUGGGUUCAUAUGUUGCUUAGAACACUUCCCUAUACGAAAAACAUGAAAAUUUUUUUUCAUAUUUUCUUUCAUAAGUGUCUAUUUACAUAUAGGUUAUUUAUUACUCUUGCGUUAAUUUUGUGGUAUAGUGACAUAGAGGAGUCUACCUUUCCCCCUCUAAUGAGGUAUUGUCCCAACACAGUGUUGCAUAAAUCUUUUUUCCAAAUGUCAGCUUUUAUCACUUAUCAAUUCUCAUUGUACUUGAGUCUGUUUUAGAUUGUCUCUUAUAUUGAUCUUUUAGUUUAUAGGAAAGCUGCUUUACUUUUUUUUUUUUUUUUUUUUUUUUUUUUUUUUUUUGCAACACAUUUUUAUCUAGCCACAUUACCAAACUUUCUUUCUGGUUCUGAUAGUUUUUCCAUUGAUGUCUGGAUUUUCUAGGCAGGUUAUCAUAUAAUCUACAAAUAGUAAUAACUUUCUAAUAUUUAUACUUCUUUACUUUCUUGUCGUGCUAGAACUUCCAGAACAAUUUUGAAUUGCAGUGAUGAUGGGCUUGCCCUUAUUUUGUUUCUGACUCUAAAGUGAAGAAUGCCUUUAGUGUCUCACUGUUUCAUUUACUGUUAGUAUAUAAUAGAUAGCCUUUAUUUCAUUAAGAAAGUUUCCUUGGCCAGGCGCGGUGGCUCACGCCUGUAAUACCAGCAUUUUGGGAGGCCAAGGUGGGCGGAUCACGAGGUCAGGAGAUUGAGGCCAUCCUGGCUAACAUGGUGAAACCCCGUCUCUACUAAAAAUACAAAAAAUUAGCUGGGCAUCGUGGUGGGCGCCUGUAGUCCCAGCUACUCGGUAGGCUGAGGCAGGAGAAUGGCGUGAACCCGGGAGGCGGAGGUUUCAGUGAGCUGAGAUCGCGCCACCGCACUCCAGCCUGGGCGACAGAGUGAGACUCCGUCUCAAAAAACAAAAAAAAAAAAAAAAAAAGAAAGUUUCCUUUUGGUUUAUAUAAACCAGGAUAAUUUUAAAAAUUAAAUUAAAGAUAGAUGUUGAAAGUAUAUAAUGUGUGAAUUGUAACUCAAUAAAGCAGUAAAAAAUGAAUGUUAAAUUUUUUAAAAAUGGCUUUAAAAAUAUUUUGGGGAUUAUUAUAUAUUUUUUCUCCUUAUUAAUAACUACACUUGUUUUUAAAAUUUGGUAAGAAUGCUUAACAUGUGAUCUACCCUCUUAACGAUUUUUUAAUUGUAUAAUACAGUAUUGUGGACUAUAAGUAUAACAUUCUAUAGUCGAUCUCUCGAACUUAUUCAUCUGGCUUAACUGAAACUUUUAAAAUAUUCAGUAAAUCAUGCUGUGACAGAUGUGCUGUCAUCCAGGCUUUGUUGUUCCAUUUGUAGAGUAGAGGCAGAGUAGAUUUAGCAUAAUUCUGAAAAAAGGCCUCAGGAUUUUCAAAGUGGUAAAUGAACAUUGGCUUCAACCGAAAGUCACCAGCUGCAUUAGUCCAUAACGAGGUCAUUCUUUUUUGGAUUUUUCAUAAAACCAGCUUUUGGUUUUAUUCCUUAUAUUUAUGAAGGUUGUUCUCCAUUUUAUUAAUCUCUGUUUAUAUGUUUAUGUCCUUAGUUUUUCUUUUGGUGCACUUUUGUUGUUUUUCUGUGUCUAAAGUUCACAUCAUUUAUUAUCAAUCAUUAUUGUGUCCUAGUAAAUACAUUUAAAGUUAUAACUUUUUCUUUGAAGAAAACGCACACUGUAUCCCAUGAUGUGUGUAGCAUUACCAUUAAUGUUGAUUUCUGUGUAGUCUGUGAUUUGAGUUUUGAUCAUUUAAUCCAAAAUCACUUAGAAGAAUGUCUUAAAAUGUCUAACUAGUUUUAGGCCGGGUUCGGUGGCUCAUGCCUAUAAUCCCAGCACUUUGGGAGGCCAAGGCGGGCGGAUCACGAGGUCAGGAGAUCGAGACCAUCCUGGCCAACACGGUGAAACCCUGUCUCCACUAAAAAUACACAAAUUAGCUGGGUGUGGUGGCACACACCUGUAAUCGCAGCUACUCGGGAGGCUGAGGCAGGAGAAUCGCUGGAACCCAGGAGUUGGAGGUUGCAGUGAGCCAAGAUUGCCACUGCACUCCAGCCUGGCAACAGUGCGAGGCUCUGUCUCAAUAAUAAUAAUAAUAAUAAUAAUAAUAAUAAUAAUUUUUAAAAAUGUCUAACUAGUUUCUUCUGUUGUAUAUUUUGCCUUUAAAAUUAACUUGCUAUCUAUUGAGAUGGAUGUUCAGUUUUAGUAAAUGCUCUGUGAGGAUUUUUUAAAUGUUCAUUUCUUAUUUAGGGGAAGUUCAAAGUUACAUGUUAUAUCAUGUUAUUAAUAGUGCUAUUCCAAAUGGUCUAGUACAUCAACUUAUUUUUCUACUUUAUCUGUUUUCUUAGAAUGCUAUCUUCACAUACAACAUUAAAAAUGAAUUUUUCAAAAUUGUCUUGUAAUUUUAAUAGUGUUUGCUUUAUAUAGAUAGUGCUGUUGUUCAUUGCAUGAUUAUUAUAGGAUUGUACUUUUAUUAUAAAGGAUAUUCUUUGCUUUACUUAGUGGUUUUUUGCUGUAAAUUUUUCUUUGUAUAAAAUUAAUAUUGCCACAUCUGCUUUCUUUUUUAUAGAUUUUCCUGGUUUACCUGUAUUUAUGCUUUUUUUUAACAUUUUUGUGACAUUUUGGUUUAGGUAUAUUUCUCAUUGUUAGAUUUUUUCUAUUCAAAUUCCUCUAAUACCCGUUUUCUAAUUGGUGAAUUUAACCCAUUUUCAUAUUAACUGUGAUAACUGCUGUGUUUGUACUUCUCUCUGCCAUCUGAUUUUAUGUUUUCUAUUCAUCGUGCUUUUCAAAAAUUAUUUUCUUGAUACUCGCUGAAUUGUUAGCUAUAUCCCAUUUCUGUAUUUCCUGGUGGUUUCUCUUAAAUUAUUAUCAAAUGUAUUCAUCUUGAUAUUAAGAAUUCAUCAGCAUCUAAAACCUGUUACCACCAACGAUAGUAGCUAACAGUUAUUAUUUCCUGUGUGUCUGACAGUAUUUUAAGCUUCUUACCAGUAUUAACUCAAUAAAUCCUCACAGUCACCUUGUGAGAAGGGAGUCAGUUAUUCCCAUUAUUUGCAGAUGAGGAAACCAAUAAGAAGGUAAGUAAUUUUCUGAAAGGCACACAGCUAGUGAGUAGUGGAGGCAGAAUUCGUACUCAGGCUCUGUACCUAGAGACCUGCUUGCUUCAGCGCUGAGCUGUUGGAAUAUUUCUACUUGCCCCUGCCUAGACACCCUCUCCUUCCAGGUUAUGCUGAAAUUUACUUUCUAGAUUGUUGUCUUAUCUGUUAUGUUUUAAGAAGUCUCUAAACACUUACAUUAAAGACACCAGCAAUCUUUGGACUUGACUUCAAAUUUUACUGAUUUAUUUUUCCUUGACAUGUAGAAUUGGCAUGCUUUCUGGGUGCUUUCUUACCUGAAAAAAUGGCUUUAUUUUGCCCUCAUAUUUGAUUGAUAGAUUGGUUAAUAGAUAUUUAUGGGUUUCAUUCAACAUUUUGUUGACAUUGCUUCUUUGUGUUCUAGCAUUGAGCAUUACAGAUGAAAAUUCCUAUACAGUUUUUCUCUCUGGAAAUUCAUAAGGUUUGGAGGGGUGAUGUGUGUGUGUUGUUGUUCUCUUAUUCUUUCACUUUAGCCUCUCUUUUUUGAAUUUCUGUUAUUGCUUUUAUCACAUUAUCUAUUUCUUUUCUUUCUGUGUUCUCAGAGAAUAUCAUCACUGAGUCUUUAAUACUGUCAACUUCAGCUGUGUACAUUUUGCUCUUCAACUUUCUUUUGAGGCUUUAAAUUAGGCAAAUAUAUUUUUCUUAGAAUUUCUGAAAACUCCUUUUCACUGGAGCUUAUUUUAAUUAUAUGGAUGCAUUAUCCUCUUAAACUUCUGUGAAAACAAUAAUUGGAGUUUUCAUUUGCAUUGGCUGUUUCAUGAGAGGUCAAGCUUUUUGCUUAUUUAUUUUGAUGUUUCCUUUUCAUGAUAUCUGUGUCUUGGGAUUUGGUUGUAUAUUCACAUUUUUAAUUAGCUACUUGAUUUAAAUAAAGUAUCAGUAGUUACUUUCAGGGUUCUUGGUGAUUAUAAUAAUUACUCACCUACCAGGCUUCUUCCUUGCAUGCAGCUCACUACAGGAAUCUGUUGUGCCUAGAAGAUUUCGGGACAAGUGGAGAAACCCCACUCCGUUAACUGCAUACACAGGGAAGGAGCUAUGAGGGAGACAGAAUAAUUUGGUCUCUACUAUUACCUUAAGAGACCUUCCCCUGUCUUCGAUUUAAAAAAAAACUACUGCAUACAAAGGGUAGGAGCUACAAGGGACAUAGAAUAAUUUGGACUCCAUUACUACCUUAAGAGACCUUCCCCUGACUUCUCUUUUAAAAAACCUAUGAGUCUCUGUACCCCUGAACUUACUUUCCACACCUAUUUCUCUCUUCACCCCCAAAAUCCAUAUUAGAAUGCCCCUGCAGGCUAUAAAGCCUUUCAUAAAAGUAAAAUACCCAGUCUUUUCAAGAGAACAAUAAAAUAGGCAGUCUCCUACCUCUUGUCUUACUCUAAUAUAAACUCCAUGAAGAUAAGUAUUGUAUCCAUACUGUUCAUGCUGCACAGCAGUUGCCCUUAUCUGCAGGGCGACGCAUCCCAAGACCCCCAGUGGAUGCUUGAAACUGCAGAGAGUAACACACGUGAUUGCCACCAUCGGAACACAUUUCUGUUCACGUCUUCCACCCACAGAUUUAAUGCCUUUUCCAUCUUAACUAAGCACUCAUCAUGGACUGUGGCCAUAACUUUUGCAGUUUUAGAUGCAACAGCAAAACUAACAUUAAUUUUUUCUUCUUCUUCACAAUUUCAUGGGUAGAUUUGUUCUUACCGUAGAUCUUAGCAACCUCAGCAUAUGAUGUUUUUUCUUUUGAGAACUUUCACCUUUUCUCUUAAAGAAAGCACUUUACAGCUUCUCUUUGGCAUAUCUCAACUGCCAGCAUCACUGCUCUUGAACUUUGGGGCCAUUAUUAAGUCAGAAAAGGGUUACUUCAAAACAAGCACUGAGAUACCACCAGAGUCCAUCUGAUAACUAAGAUGGUAACUACAUGACUAACAGGCCGGUGACGUAUAGAGCAUGGAUAUGCUGGACAAAGGGGUGAGUCAUAUCCCAGGUAGGAUGAAGCAGGGUGACUUGAGAUUUCACUAUUCAGUAUGGUGCACAAUUUAAAACUUAGGAAUUGUUUAUUUCUUGGAACUUUUCGUUUAAUGUUUUUGGACUGCAGUUAGCCACAGGUAACUGAAACUGUGGAAAGUGAGGAUUGGAGGAUAAGCAGAGACUGUGGUAUUCAUUUCAUUGCACAGUGCCUAGAAUACAGUAGGUGUACUAUAAAUAUUUUGUAAAGGGACAACUUUUCUGAAACUAAAAAUAUUUAUGUUUUACCCAAUAAUUUUUCUUCUGGAAAUUUAUGCUAAGGAAAUAUUCAGAGAUGCUUACAAAGUUUUAUGCAUGAGUGUCC
rnacentral:lncRNA from 10 species